rnacentral:rRNA from 1 species
GACGAACGCUGGCGGCGUGCCUAACACAUGCAAGUCGAGCGGUAAGGCCCUUUCGGGGGUACACGAGCGGCGAACGGGUGAGUAACACGUGGGUGACCUGCCCUUAGCUCUGGGAUAAGCCUGGGAAACUGGGUCUAAUACCGGAUAUGACUCCAUGACGCAUGUUGUGGGGUGGAAAGCCUUGUGCGGCUAGGGAUGGGCCCGCGGCCUAUCAGCUUGUUGGUGGGGUGAUGGCCACCAAGGCGACGACGGGUAGCCGGCCUGAGAGGGCGACCGGCCACACUGGGACUGAGACACGGCCCAGACUCCUACGGGAGGCAGCAGUGGGGAAUCUUGCGCAAUGGGCGAAAGCCUGACGCAGCGACGCCGCGUGGGGA